rnacentral:rRNA from 1 species
GACGAACGCUGGCGGCGUGCUUAACACAUGCAAGUCGAACGGUGAAGCGCCUUCCUUUUUGGUGGGUGUGGAUGAGUGGCGAACGGGUGAGUAACACGUGAGUAACCUGCCCCCUUCUUCUGGAUAACCGCAUGAAAGUGUGGCUAAUACGGGAUAUUCUGGGUCUGUCGCAUGAUGGGUCUGGGAAAGAUAUUGUUUCGGUGGGGGAUGGGCUCGCGGCCUAUCAGCUUGUUGGUGGGGUGAUGGCCUACCAAGGCGGUGACGGGUAGCCGGCCUGAGAGGGUGGACGGUCACACUGGGACUGAGACACGGCCCAGACUCCUACGGGAGGCGGCAGGGGGGAAUAUUGCACAAUGGGCGCAAGCCUGAUGCAGCGACGCCGCGUGAGGGAUGGAGGCCUUCGGGUUGUGAACCUCUUUCGCCAGUGAAGCAGGCCUGCCUCGUUUGUGGGUGGGUUGACGGUAGCUGGAUAAGAAGCGCCGGCUAACUACGUG